UAGAAUGGCAAAACUCCAAAACCAUCGUGAACGUUACCUACAUCGUUGCUUCGGCGGGUGGCGGGCUUCGGCCCUGCCCUCGGCCCCUCUCGGGGGCCCGCCGGAGGUACACCAAACUCUUGAAUUUACAUGGCCUCUCUGAGUCUUCUGUACUGAAUAAGUCAAAACUUUCAACAACGGAUCUCUUGGUUCUGGCAUCGAUGAAGAACGCAGCGAAAUGCGAUAAGUAAUGUGAAUUGCAGAAUUCAGUGAAUCAUCGAAUCUUUGAACGCACAUUGCGCCCGCCAGUAUUCUGGCGGGCAUGCCUGUCCGAGCGUCAUUUCAACCAUCAAGCCCCCGGCUUGUGUUGGGGACCUGCGGCACACCCGCAGGCCCUGAAAACCAGUGGCGGGCUCGCUGUCCACACCGAGCGUAGUAGCAUAUCUUUGUCUCGCUCAGGGCGUGCGGCGGGUUCCGGCCGUGAAACCCACCUUCUCGAAGGUACCCAAAGGUUGACCUCGGAUCAGGUAGGAAGACCCGCUGAACUUAAGCAUAUCAAUAAGACAGGAGGAAU
rnacentral:rRNA from 1 species